rnacentral:rRNA from 1 species
AAUGAACGCUGGCGGCAUGCCUAACACAUGCAAGUCGAACGAAGGCUUCGUCCUUAGUUGCGCACGGGUGCGUAACGCGUGGGAAUCUGCCCCUUUGCUCGGAAUAACAGUUAGAAAUGACUGCUAAUACCGGAUGAUGACGUAUGUCCCAAGAUUUAUCGCCCAGGGAUGAGCCCGCGUAGGUCUAGCUAGUGGGUGUGGUAAGAGCGCACCAAGGCGACGAUCCUUAGCUGGUCUGAGAGGAUGGUCAGCCACACUGGGUCUGAGACGCGGCCCAGAAUCCUAGGGGAGGGAGGAGUGGGGGAUAUUGGAAAACGGGCGAAAGGCUGAACCAGCAAGGCCGCGUGAGUGAUGAAGGCGUUAGGGUUGUAAAGCACUUUUACCCGGGAUGAUAAUGACGGUACCGAGAGAAUAAGCUCCGGCUAACUCCGUG